CCUGCGCCCGCCUGGCCUUUCCGGAGCUGUCACGGAUGGCGGGCCCGAGAUUUACGUGGCCCGUGCUGACCGACCACAAAGGCCAGCGGCCCCGCUCUACGAGGGGUUCCUUGCGCGGAAAGUUGUGGCGUGAGAAAGUUUUGGAUGGGGAGCGCCCAGGAUUUGCUGUCUUUGCUUUCCCGAGUGUGCCUGUUGGCUGACCUUAAGGCCCUAUUUGCACCUUUGAGAAGGAAAAAAACUACGUAAAUUCCAUGUCUGUUUGAUUAGGAAGAUGGCAACAAACUGUGAGGGCUAUUGAUUGGCUGAAGGUAACUGUAGCAGUGGCAGGGAAAGCAUGAAGAUUUCAGCUCUUGUGCAUAUUUUCUCUUAGUAGCAAGAACCAUAAAACCUAGGCUUUGCUACAUGCAUUUGUCGACUGUGCUUUAUUGUGGAGAGUGAAGUGUAUUACAGAAACCUUUACAAAUAUUCCUAUAGCAGUUUAAGGUUUACAGAGAACUGGACGUCUUAGUGCAAAGUGUUAUUUCCAUUUUUACAAAUGAGAAAACGGAGGCUUCUGAAAGGUCAGACUACUGAUCCAAACCCAUUGUCACAUCUAAUCGUGCAUUUAUUAAGUGCUUACUAUGUGUCAGGAACGGUACUAAUUUAGGAGAAUUUUACAUGCUUUUUAUAAAAGAAAGGAGUCUCAUUUUGUGUGUGUGUGUGUGUGUGUGUGUGUUUGUGAGUGCAUGUCAUUUUGUGACAUAUCAUUGGUUUUCUUUCCGACCUACCUACCCUUCUUAGUAGUUCUUUUCAGUGAUUUAGUUCUUUUUGUGACAAGGGAAUUGGGGUCACCCCACCCCCACCUCUUUGGCAGAUUGGGGACUUCUCAUCAGAGUAUAAACCUUGACCAUUGACUAAGUCAUGAACCAUUUGCCAUUCACCAAGUCCAGGAAACCUUUUUUCUUUAAAUUACUGAUAGCCAGUUUCCUGAGAUGGUGAUAUGUCUCAAGCCUUUACAUGGUAAUCUGUAACCUUAAAGAAACAGUAUUGCCACUUCAGAAACAGUGCAGUAAAGCCUUGCCUGUGAUCAAAGUAGUUUUUAACUUUACCACGUCUCAACAAUUCUUGAUUGUUAAAGCAUGAGUGAUUUCCCAAGGAUUUAUUAGGGGCCGGGUCAAUGAGUCUUAUAGUUAAAUUUGGGAGAAAUUAAUAAAAAUGCUGUCACCAGCCAUACUAGUUUCCUUCUGGGAGUGUUCACGUUUUGGGUAUCUCUCCUUGGUGGUCCAGGAGUUAUGGCUGUAAAGUAAGAAUGCUCCCCCAAAAUAAAAUAAAAAAUAAGCAUAUAAGAACUCAUACAGCGAAUUGCAUGUUGACCUUCAAACAAGUCAUCUUGGGAAGCUAUAUACUUAUUCCAAUCAUGCUGUUAUUGGGGAAAACAUUUUAAGAAGUCCUCUUUGCCUUCAAGGUAGAGAAGAAUACCAGGGUGAUUAUUUACAGUAGCACUUGCUUUUUGACUCAUUAGACUUGACUUGAGAUUGCUUUUUACUCUUUCUGAAUUCUGAUUGUUCCCCAAAGGAUAAAGACCUGCCACUAUUGAAUAUAUUUGAAAAUACUGUCAUAAACUCUGAAAGAGAAGUUUUUCAACUAGAUUUGAUUAAAACUCUGACUAAAAUUUUCUUUUGGCUUAUGAAUGAGCUAUAUUUGUUGGAAUAAACAUGUGGCCUUGCGGCUGACUACAUAGUUAUAUUUACAUAAUUUAGAUAUAAAUACUAAACUAAAUUAUUUCUCUAGUGGCUUUAUAAUAGUGUGGAGGUGAUAUUGCAUUCUUGAAGAUUGUGCCAGCAGUUCCUAACAAAAUUUUGAGUAGGGGUCUGGCAGUUGACUUGUUUGAAGACCAGCCUAGCUCAGUGAGGUCUCGUCAUUACCAGAACCCUAAAGAUUAAUUUAUUUGGCCCCAAUAAUUCAUUAAAAUAGUCUGUUUAGGUAUGCAGUUGUUAUAGACUUUAUGUGGAGGGAUUAUUCACAUUGUUGAAAUUAUGAAUAUCCAAAUUUUGCUUAAAAAUCAGUCUCAUCACUUCAUAUUUCACAUCAUAGGCAAUUUCUUGUUUUUUGUUUUGUUUUGUUUUUAGUGAGGCAAUUGGGGUUAAGUGACUUGCCCAGGGUCACACAGCUAGUAAAGUGUCUGAGGCCGGAUUUGAACUCAGGUACUCCUGACUCCAGGGCCGGUGCUCUACCCACUGCGCCACCUCGAUGCCCCCCAUAGGCAAUUUCUUACAUGUUUGAACAGGGUUCUGAAGAUUAGGCUCCAAACCUUGACAUGAAUUCAUGAUCAUAAGACAGUAUUAGAUCAUCUAAGAAGACAAAGUUGAGAAAAAUUGUUACAAGUCGGCUAAGACUUUUUUUCAGAAAAUGUCUCGUUUGUUAAACUAAAGUAAACCAAGUGUUAAACCUGUUUUGGACCUUUUGUAGUACAGAUGAGGAAACAGACUCAGAGGUAUAAUGAGAAAACGUAUGUAAAAACAUCAUGAAAAUGGUAAAGUUCUAUGUAGCUAUAAGGUGAUGUUAUUGUCAGUAUUCUUUUUUGCAACUUAAAGUCAUACAGGUAGUUAGUGACAGAUAAUCCAGAACUCUUUCUAACUAAACCACAUUGGUGUGGCCGAUGCUUCUCUGGUUGAUGCCUAUGGAUUCCUAGACUUCUAGAACUAGAGCUAGAAGGAACCUCCUUCAUUUUACAGAUGAAGCUUGAUCUAGGAAAGUUAAGUAACUUGCCCAAGAUUUACAAAGGUAGUAAGCAGCGAUAAUGAGUUAGGAAUCUAGGUUCUCUGAUUCCAGAACCCAGUGCUCUUUCCAUUAUACUAAGUGUUGUUUUUCUUUUAUGUUAUAAUGACUUUCCAAUUUCUCAUUGUUGUGUUGAAAAGAAAGGCUUCAGAGAGUGUAACCAUUUAUCCUUAUAAGUGACACUUAACUAGUAUAUAACACCACAGACUUAAAUUUUGCUAGUCUUACAAGGGAAAGCAAACCCGGCUGCCUGGAAAGUGAAGGCUUCUUCCUGAGAGUAGUAGGUAUGCUUGGUGCUUUUAUUGCUCUGGCACAUUCUUAGGAACACAUGAAAGCCUGUCUGCAGUCUUGAAGAAUAUAGGAAAUGGAAAUUGAGUUCUUUUAAGUAACUUCUCUUCCAACAUGCUAAAGUAGAACUUAAAAAAAAAAAAUCAAAUUUAGAAGGGGACACAAGUGUAGCAAGUGCUUAAUUUUUUAUAAUUUUAAAGAUAUCUUUAACAAUGUCUUUGUGUCAGUGUUUACUACUGAUCUUAGCGCUAUGAUUUUCAGCAUUUUAAUAAUUUUGAAGGUAUAGAGUGCUUAUUAAAUUUGAAAAUAGCACAAAGCUGGAAGGAAUAAUUUAUAUGUGGAACAGGAAUCAGGAUCCAAAAAAAAGACUGGGUGAUUGUUGAGGAUGUUGUAAAGGGAAUUCAUGUCCAAGUGUAGAUUGAAGUAGAUCACCCUGAAGUUUCAUGAUACAAGACAAUUUCACAAGAAUAAAAAUUGAGGCAGUGGAUCCUAUGGAAUUCAGAGGUUGAUUUUAGUUGGUCAUAUCAUUAUCAUAUCAUGUUUUCAUUAUUUAGACUAUACUUUUGUCUUGCGCUAUUUGUAAUCCCAGGUUCAAUCAUAGACAGGUCUCCCAUUACAUAAUCUAAGGCUAAGGUCCCAUGUUUGAUCCUUCUUUUGGCCAUCAUUAUUCCUUGGGCUUAAAGUAAACCCUUGUAUUUAUUUUGGAAAAAUAAGCUGUUGCAUAAAGGGACCUGCAGUAAGACAUAAAUGGACAUUUGAUUGUAUACAUGUCUCUUCUGGCAUCAUAUGAAAACUCUUUGAGGACAAGAGAUGUUUUAUAUUUUCUUGGUAUCCCCAGUGUUUAACACAGACCCUGGCAUAUAGUAGGCACUUAAAUGCUUCUUGAUGAAUCAACCACUAUUGGAAGAACACAACUCAGGGGAAACGUCCCACUACUGUUAGUGUAGGUGGUCCCAAACUUAGGAAUGGGUUGUGUUCCACAAUAUCACUUUUGGCUGGUUAUUUGGAACUUGAAAUACAGCAUUUUCCAUAGAAACAGUUUUUAUAAUGGUACUUAGGUUUCCAGGGUAGCUCCAGAAGUCUCUUUAAUAUAUAACGUAAAUAAACUAUAUAAUAUGUAAGAUUCCCUGAACCUUUUGAGUCUCUCUAAAACUUGUGCAAGUAAUAGGGAAUGGGAUAUAGCAGCAAGGAGGUGUGGAACAUUCUAGCUUGGAGCUUUUGCUGAUACUUACAGAAUAGUGGAGAAGGUUGGGUGAAGGGUGAAAUCCAUGAAAAUGAGAGUGCUCCCGGUGGCAAAAGUGAAAACUUCAUCCAGAAGGCAAGUAGGGCUUUGAUGGCAAUAACUGUUCUUAUUUGUAAAGGUUAUUCAAAGUCUAGUGUUUGUAAAUUGGGAACUACCUAUAAUGAACUUUCUUCUGUUUACUUACAAGCCCAUUUCUAGGAUUGGUUAAGACUAAUUCAAAGUCAGAAAGAUAUAUGUUUCUACAUUUUCUCAUUUAAGGUCUUAAGUUCAAUUUUACCUGAAUGUAAAAUGCAGUUGGUUCUUUACCUAAUUAAAUUUAAACCAGAUUAGUAAGCUUUAUAAUGAAUUAUCUAUAUGUGUGAAGGUCUAGAAAUAGACCUUCAAUAGUUAAUUGAUGUCCAUCCCUAUUCCACUUGAUUCAAGGAGAGGAAGUGAGAACUGUCUGCAGAAGGACCAGAAUUCUUGUUCUCUCUGGCGCAGAGGGUCAGUUUUUUUCCUCCAUCUUUAUUCACUUGCUUAGAGCAGCAUGAAACAUGAAAUUCAAACAGGAUUGCUUUGUAAAAAGAAAAGAUCUUCAGUUUUCUUACCUUCCCUUUCCCAUUCAAGGAUGAGUUUCCCUUUCUAUGAUAGUGUUGAACAGUUUGUAGAAUGAGAUGUGGGUCAGUCUCAAAUGUCUGUCUGCUUUUUAGCGAUGUUAGUUAGGUGAGAAAACAAACGCCCCAUAUUUUCUGUUAAUGGCUUAUACAUGUCUGUUGCUCUUAACUUUCUCUUCGUUGUCUUCCUUUCAUUCUGGCUGGCUGGCUGGCCUGGCUGGCUGGCCCAGCCGGCCGGCCACUUUCUGUAAACAAGUCAGGGGAUAGAGGGCUGACCUUGAAAUCAGGAAGACUCGGGUUCAAGUACUGUUUCUGACACAUACUAACUGUGUGACCAUUAACCUCAUUGCCGCCAAGCAACUAUCUAAGACCCUUAAGUUAGAGAGUUGCCUAACUUUAUUGAUGAGGGAACUUACAUCACCGAAUUUGCUACAAGGAUGAAAAUCCAGGUUCUAAACAAACCUAUCUUAAAGUAAAUUGUCAUGAAAUGUCCUUUAAUGAGAAUUUUUUCCAUUUGUUAAAGCAAUAAAUUGUUGUCAGUGUUGUGACUUUAGCUCUUUGGAGAAAUGAGCUUCUGAGCUUUGACUCUUUAUUCUUUGACUCUCUAUUCUUUUGAAAAGAGUGAGCCCCCAAAACUUUCAGCCCAAACCAAUAAGCACUGGAUGAUUGAUAGGCUUUAAUUCAGUGUACAUUUUUUGCCCUAGAUCACUAAGAUAAUGGUGUGUUUGUGAUAUUAACUAUCCAGUUUCAUUAUUGAGAUUGUGGCAGGCUGUUAGAAGGAGGUGGUGUGCUAUGGAGGGCAUAGCCUGAAAUGAGUAUUAAGGCAGUGCUGUUCAGGGACUGAGAUAGCAGUCUACCAGGGGAUGAGGUUAGCUGCAUUGUGUUGUAUUGAAAUACAUGUUGAAUUUAAAGUAAAAAAGACCUGGGUUCAAAUGUGACUACUUAAUUGGGGGACGGUGUGUGGGGAGGGGGUGGAAUUGAGAAAUACCCUAUCUUCUGAAUAUACCGUGUGACUUUGGGGCAAGCCAUUUUCCAUCUCUGACCUCUUGGUCUUCAUCUGUCAUUUGAGGGGUUUGGACUAGAUAAUCUCUAAAGUCUCUUUCAGCUCUAAAUCCUGUGAUGCUGUGAAUGUAGCCAGUGUGUACAUCCCUGUAGAUUUCAGAGGACUGCAUGAAAACUGCUCAGUGUUUUUUCUGCCACCAACAUGCAGAAUGAAAUUAGUAAAUGUCAGCCAUCUUGCCCUGCAUUUAAAAACAGGAGAAGGAAGAACAAAGUACCCUCCUAAAGCAUCUGAGUGGGAUACCAGCAUGUGUGCACUUUAUAAUUAAAUCUGGAGUAGUAAAAAUAGACUUGAAUAUCUUCUGAAAUAGAGCAGAAUGAGACUGUCAACAUCAUGUAAGCACAGCUCUCGUAAUAUGGAGAAUUUUCUACCAGAAGUUCUUCUCUACAGACCAGAGGAUACUGAUGGAUGUGUGUGAGAGCCCUGAUCGAGAUCCUGGAUCUCCAGAGGAAGAGCAGCAGGAGCUCUCAGACGAUGACAUUCUGAAAGAGAGUGGGUCUGAUCAGGACUUGGAUGGAGAGGGUGGCAGGGGUACUGAUUUGGAAGAAGAGGAAGAAGAUGCAGCAAGGGCAUUGAGUCAGGGUGAAGAGGAAAAUCAUUCAGAUGAGGAGGACCGAUUGAGUGAAACCAAAUCUCAGGACUCUGAUAAUAAUGAGCAGAGCAGAGAUCUUAAGAACUCGCCCUGUCAGGAGGAGGAAGAGGAAGAUGAGGAGGAGGAGGAAGAAGAAGACAGGACAAAUGAUCUUAGAGAUGAAGCCUCUUCAGUCACUAGAGAACUGGAUGAGCAUGAAUUAGAUUAUGAUGAGGAGGUUCCUGAGGAACCAACUACUACUGCUCAAGAGGAUGAGGCUGAGAAGGCUGGUGGAGAAGAUGAGGACGAAAAAGGAGAAGGUACUCCAGAGGAAGAAGAAAAACCCAGUGGUAAAAAUGGGGAGGAAAAAGAGCAACUGGAAUCUGUUAAGGAGAAAAAAAAAGAGGAAGAUGAUGGAGAAAUAGAUGAUGGAGAGAUUGAUGAUGAUGAUCUGGAAGAAGGAGAAGUGAAGGAUCCUAGUGAUAGGAAGGUGAGGCCUCGUCCCACCUGCCGAUUCUUUAUGAAAGGUGGGUUCCCCCUUUCAACAGGAUGCAACAGAAACGUUCUCGGCGUGGAUUUCCAAGUGGAGCAGCCCUCAGAAAGAAACGGUCACUGUACAUGGGGGAUGAAUUGUAGGUUUAUUCAUCCUGGAGUGAAUGACAAAGGAAACUAUUCUUUGAUCACAAAACCAGACCCCUUUCCACCCAAUGGUGCACCACCUGUUGGACCUCAUCCAUUGAUGCCUGCCAAUCCUUGGGGUGGACCAGUUGUUGAUGAAAUUCUGCCUCCACCACCUCCAGAACCCCCAACAGAGAGUGCCUGGGAGAGAGGACUCCGGCAUGCAAAGGAGGUAUUAAAAAAGGCUACCAUUCGAAAAGAGCAGGAGCCUGAUUUUGAAGAAAAAAGGUUUACAGUGACCAUUGGAGAAGACGAGCGAGAAUUUGACAAAGAAAACGAAUUUUUCAGAGAAUGGAAUUAUCGGAUUACUAGAGAUGUCAGAGAUACAGCACUUGAACCUUAUUCAGAUCCUUAUUAUGAUUAUGAAAUAGAACGGUUUUGGCGUGGUGGACAAUAUGAGAACUUCAGAGUGCAAUACACAGAAACGGAACCAUAUCAUAAUUAUCGAGAAAGAGAAAGGGAGCGAGAGAGAGAAAAUAGACAGAGAGAACGGGAACGGGAACGUGAGAGAGACCGAGAAAGGGAACGGCGGCAAAGGGAGAGAGAGCGAGAAAGAGAACGAGAACGGGACAAAGAACGCCAACGGAGGAAAGAAGAGUGGGAACGAGAACGAGCCAAGAGAGAUGAAAAAGAUAGACAGCACAGAGACCGGGACAGAGAAAAAGAGCGAGAAAAAGAAAAGGAAAAGCCAAAACCUAGGUCCCCUCAGCCACCAAGCCGUCAACCUGAGCCACCAAAGAAGGAAACCACAUCAGCUGGCCCACAGGUGAAAAGAGCAGAUGAAUGGAAGGAUCCUUGGCGACGAUCUAAGUCUCCUAAGAAGAAACUUGGCGUAUCGGUUUCUCCAAGCCGUGCACGGAGGCGUCGAAAAACAUCUGCCUCAUCUGCAUCUGCAUCCAAUUCCUCCAGGUCAUCUUCUCGUUCCUCAUCAUACUCUGGUUCUGGCUCCUCACGAUCCCGGUCCAGGUCCUCAUCCUACAGCUCCUAUUCUAGUCGGUCUUCUAGACACAGCUCAUUCUCAGGCAGCAGAUCCAGGUCUCGGUCUUUUUCAUCUUCCCCUUCUCCAUCACCAACACCAUCCCCACAUAAACCUUCUAUAAAAACUAAAGGAGAGCCUGCCCCACCUGCUGGAAAAGGAGAGAAGUCUCUGAAAAAGCCAGCCCCACCUCCGGCCCCCCCACAGUCCACCAAAACAAUUACACCUGCACCAGAGCCAACCAAACCAGGAGAUAACAGAGAAGCAAGGAGGAAGGACCGCCAAACAAGAACCCCACCAAGGAGGCGGACCAUCAGCGGCAGCAUCAGCGGCAGCGCCAGUAGCUAUAGCGGAUCUAGUUCCCGAUCCAGGUCAUUGUCAAGAUCUCUCUCUAGGUCCCAUUCCCGAUCAACUUCUGCCUCUAUUUCUCCCUCCCCAUCAGGGUCCAGGAAGUCCCGGAAAUCCAGGUCCCUGAGCGUGAGCAGCGUCUCCUCUGUCUCCAGUGCCACUUCAAGUAGCAGUUCUGUUCGCAGUGCCGAUUCAGAAGACAUGUAUGCUGAUCUGGCCAGUCCUGUUUCCUCGGCCAGUUCUCGGUCUCCCACCCCCGCCCAGCCGAAGAAAGAAAAAGGAAAAUCUAAAAAAGAAGACAGUGUUAAAGAAGAGAAGCGGAAAAGGGAGGCGCCCACACAGCCCCCCAAAUCCACAAAACCAACAGCCAGUAGUAAAUCAUCCCAGCAGCCGCCACCUCCCCAACAAGUGCUCCCACCACAACCUCAGCAAGGAGGGUUCAGCGCUCACAAAGAGAUCAAACUGACGUUAUUAAAUAAGGCAGCUGAUAAAGGAAGCAGGAAGAGAUAUGAACCAUCAGACAAGGAUAGACAAACUUCUCCUCCAGCAAAACGAGCUAACCUGUCUCCUGAAAGAGGUUCUCGUGACAGGAAACCAGCUGGAAGACUCUCUUCUCCCAAACAGGAACGCCAGAGAGGACAGAACCCUAAACCACCUCUGACUCAACCAGAUAGGAAACGCCAGCUAUCACCACAGUCCAAGAGUUCAAGCAAAGUCACCAGUGUGCCAGGCAAAGCCUCUGAUGGGGGCCCGGCCACCGCUGGUGCCAAGUCUGGGAAGUCAAGCACGCUAUCGAGACGGGAAGAGCUCUUGAAGCAGCUGAAGGCCGUGGAAGAUGCCAUUGCUCGGAAGCGGGCCAAAAUCCCUGGGAAAGUAUAGCUCCUGGCCCUGGCCCUGUCCCGCACAGACUCUCACAUGUUUUUAUAAAUAGUGUAAGCGCAGCCAUUUUGGAUUGUGCAGUUAAUGUCUUAUUUUGGCUGCCGUUCUUUUUAAAAAUUAAUUAAAAGGAAAAAAAAAGUUUCUCAGCUGGAAAAGAAGCCGCCCAUAUAAUGAAGAUGACUCUGAUUCCCAGCUGCUUCCCAGAUUGAGGAUGAGUCCCUUCCCAGAGCAGAAUCCCCAGAGGCAGAACAGGCCAGCACCAAGGCGGAGGCGGAGGCACACGCAGCAACAUUUUCAAUGUCUGUCCUCUUUAUCUUGAUGAAAGUACAGAUGAGGCGCUGUGACACUGGAGAGACGCGUCAGCCUCACUGUACAGAUUCCGGUCUCCCAUCUCUGCAGGUUCCCUUGAAAUCAUGUCUCUUACCUUAUUCCCUGACUUGUCAUACUUGUGACUCUUGGCAAAGUUGAAAUUGAUGGAAUUCUGCCGAGGGAACCCACCUGCGGCAUUUUCCUGAUGGCCUGUAAAGAGAAAGCUGAAGAUGUCUGCAGAAUCACUGUGACGUGACACACUGUUGGUGCCCCUUGAGGGCACAUUGCACCUUUCCUGCAGAUUCCUGCUUAUAGGCCAGGAGAGAAGACGUGUGUUUCAACAUGCCAUGUGUGAGUAACUUAGGGGCUAUGGAAAGAAAUUAAGCUACCACAGCUUUGCUGGCAUCUACACGGAAGUGCCUUAAACCGAGAAGCCACAUCUCUUGGCUCUGUGGUGACCUCACUUUGCUCACAGUCAACUCUCAUCCAAGCUCACCAUCAAAAUAAAAGACUGAGCUCAGAACAGUUAUUUGCCAGACUCUAAGGGAAAAAAAUGUAUAGUAUUAAGACAUCAGUUAAACUGUAAUAUUUGUCUAAUUUACCCAAUAAGCACAGUUCCCCAGAAGACAUGUCAUCAGAGGGACACAGCCUCAAGACUUGUUUUCUUCCUCCAAUUUCUCCCUCUCUGACUUCUCUUGCACAACCCUGAGGUCAAGAUGAGAUUAGAAUAUUAAACA